UGGAAAGAUUAGACUUCUCUCGUUUCUCCGUUAUUAAUCCAGGACAACGCAAGAGUUUCCUUCCUUGGGUGAAGUCACUCUACUGGAAUUGUGAUGCAAGUAACAAGAUUCCAAAGUGAAAGCUUAAAUGUGGAAGUUCCCAUAUGAUCCAUCAGACUCUGAGCAUGAAUUUUAAUGGACUCAGGACCACUUCUCCAGCGUGUGGGCCAGAGGUCACUGGAUUUCAGAGUGAAUCUUCCACAAACUGACAUGGAACCUGAAAAACUUGUUUAUUGUGUCAAGAGAGGAUGAGGCAGCUCUGAAUUCAGAGGCUGAAUGAACUGACUGCUCCAGGACUGCCUUGUAGAUACAGUCCAUUCAAGAAGGAGAAAGGGCUAAAUAUCUGGCUGAAUUUUGUCAGCGGUCAAGGCACUUGUUAUAAAAGCAUUUAGGAAGAAAACAGGGGCCACCAUUUGUUGGAGUGCAUGCAUAUGAAUGUGAUAAACACAGUGGUAUUGCAAAACCAAGACGAAAAAGGAUGAACGAGAAAACAAAUUUCCCCAAAGGUGGUGUUGUGACCCAAUCCUGGACGGGGAAACCAAAGGGCAAUCAGCUGUGUGUGUGUGAAGGGCAGAGGAGAGCUUCUGAGGAUGUUUCUGCUUUCUGAUACAAAGACAGACAUUGCUGGUGCUGUGUACUACGCUCUUCUUCCUGCCAUGAAUGUUGAAGUGAUGGCUUGUGAUGAAGCCGCCGUCCUACAACCUGGAGAGAAAGCCUUGCCAUUUUGAGCCACUGAACCAAUGCCAGAUGCCACUUACUUGCAGACAUUUUGUUAAAUGACAACAACAAUCUCAUAUUUGCUUAAGCCCCUGUUAGGUUACCUGUUACUGAAAACAAUCCUAACUGAUGCAGGGGUGUCUGAGUUUGUAUGUGUAUGCACAUGUCUAGGCAAGUAGAACAUUUAAAGGUGACAGUAGCAAGAUACAUGUUAAUUUGUACCCAAAGUUGGCUGGUCCAGUGUCACCUGGAUAUUUAGCAAGGGAAAGCAGGGAUGGAUUGCCAACUUCGUUAAGGUCACACUUAUAACAUGGGAGAGGUUAGGGAUCUGGAGUUUAAAUUUCAUUAAUUAAAUCUGAUGUUCAGGAGACCAGUCUCCCCAAAAUGCUGGCUAUAUUAUAUUGCGGAAAACAGUAUCAUGUGUAUUUAUCAAAAGCUAAGUUUAAGAAGAAAUCUGCUUUUCAUUUUCAAUGUUAACCUCAUUUUAUUUCUUUUUAUAAAAACAAAAUAUAUUCUGUUUAAAUUUUUGGCUAUUUGAAUAAAGAACAAAC
rnacentral:lncRNA from 1 species